GAAAAUUUUAAAGGAGGAGAUUCCGAGAAUAAUAAAGACGGCUAUAAAUCAAGAUAUUGAAGGGGUUUCUAAUAUAACUGCUUCUAACCACUAUAGCUAGGAUUAAUGUAGAUCUGAAAAUAAAUGGGUUAUACGAUUUACUGCAUGUGAUGUGUACUUUAAGGAAUAAAAGUACUUUCUUAUCACAUGAACAAUCAUUUGGGCCGUUAUUGAAAAACCAUUACAAAUUAAUUGUUAAAUAUCAAGCAGUUAUGCCAUUAACACCAUUAUUGUAUCACCUCAUAGUGCAUAUUAACAGAAAAAAGGGCAAAAAUAAAGAACAACUUUAAUAUUGCUUGACAACUGAUUGUUAAAGAUGUAAAUAAAAAAUCUAUUCCAUCCAAUCAUUAUAUUGAAAAGUAGGAUAAAAGUCUGUUAUCAGACCACUGAUCAAUACUUUAUUGCUGAGCUGGCAGUAUUGACUUUCUUUCUUGAUUGUAAAGUCUGAACAAAUAUUUAAAUAGCUGGUGAAGUCUUUUGUUAAAGAUUUAAAAUGUGACUUAACCCA
rnacentral:lncRNA from 1 species